UCGUCGUACACAGUAGUAGAGUUGUUGUACUACUGAGAGGACGAGCAGCAUCAUCAGUAUACUCCCUCUUCUUGUCGUUGUAUAGGAUGAGUUCCUCUGGUGCGCUCACCAAUUGGUGAGAAAGCUAUGCUUAUCACUCCCAUCAUGAUGAAGAUCGAAAGAAAGAGAGGUUCGGCUGCCAGAUGACGCUGCCGUAUGCUACACAUGCAGUCGACGGUCUCUUCGGAGAUAGUGGCGGACGGGUGAGUAACGCGUGAGAAUCUAGCUCUAGGUCGGGGACAACCACCUGGAAACCGGUGGCUAAUACCGGAUGUGCCGAAAGGUGAAAGAUUUAUUGCCUAGAGAUGAGCUCGCCGUCUGAUUAGCUAGUUGGUGUGGUAAGAGCGCACCAAGGCGACGAUCAGUAGCUGGUCUGAGAGGAUGAUCAGCCACACUGGGACUGAGACACGGCCCAGACUCCUACGGGAGGCAGCAGUGGGGAAUUUUCCGCAAUGGGCGAAAGCCUGACGGAGCAAUACCGCGUGAGGGAGGAAGGCUCUUGGGUUGUAAACCUCUUUUCUCAGGGAAUAAGAAAGUGAAGGUACCUGAGGAAUAAGCAUCGGCUAACUCCGUGCCAGCAGCCGCGGUAAUACGGAGGAUGCAAGCGUUAUCCGGAAUGAUUGGGCGUAAAGCGUCCGCAGGUGGCACUGUAAGUCUGCUGUUAAAGAGCAAGGCUCAACCUUGUAAAGGCAGUGGAAACUACAGAGCUAGAGUACGUUCGGGGCAGAGGGAAUUCCUGGUGUAGCGGUGAAAUGCGUAGAGAUCAGGAAGAACACCGGUGGCGAAAGCGCUCUGCUAGGCCGUAACUGACACUGAGGGACGAAAGCUAGGGGAGCGAAUGGGAUUAGAUACCCCAGUAGUCCUAGCCGUAAACGAUGGAUACUAGGCGUGGCUUGUAUCGACCCGAGCCGUGCCGGAGCCAACGCGUUAAGUAUCCCGCCUGGGGAGUACGCACGCAAGUGUGAAACUCAAAGGAAUUGACGGGGGCCCGCACAAGCGGUGGGAGUAUGUGGUUUAAUUCGAUGCAACGCGAAGAACCUUACCAAGACUUGACAUGUCGUGAAUCUCCUUGAAAGGGGAGAGUGCCUUCGGGAGCACGAACCACAGGUGGUGCAUGGCUGUCGUCAGCUCGUGUCGUGAGAUGUUGGGUUAAGUCCCGCAACGAGGCGCAACCCUCCGUUUUUAGUUGCCAGCAUUAAGUUGGGCACUCUAGAGAGACUGCCCGGUGACAAACCGGAGGAAGGUGGGGAUGACGUCAAGUCAGCAUGCCCCUUACGUCUUGGGCUACACACGUACUACAAUGCUACGGACAGAGGGCAGCAAGCUAGCGAUAGCAAGCAAAUCCCGUAAACCGUAGCUCAGUUCAGAUCGCAGGCUGCAACUCCGCCUGCGUGAAGGAGGAAUCGCUAGUAAUUGCAGGUCAGCAUAACUGCAGUGAAUUCGUUCCCGGGCCUUGUACACAACCGCCCGUCAACACCAUGGAAGCUGGCAACGCCCGGAAGUCAUUACCUCCAACCAUUCGUGGGGGAGGAUGCCUAAGGCAGUGCUGGUGACUGGGGUGAAGUCGUAACAAGGUAGCCGUACCGGAAGGUGUGGGCUGGAUCACCUCCUUUUAGGGAGACCUACCCAACUGGAAAUCGAAAGCGGAGAGCAAAUAGAUGAACAGAUGGUCUACUCUAGGUCGGUCGAGGAUGAUGACAAGCUCUUCUCAAAUCUAUGAUUGUGGCUGCGUUAAUGGGUAUAUAACUCUCAAGGUAGUGUUAUAGCGCACCGCCUGAUUACGGCAGACGGUCCCUGGGUUCGAGUCGCAUGGUGGACACACCUGACCGCAAUGCUUGAACUACUAAAUUCAAAACUCAAAUAUAAUGAAAUGUUUUCGAAUACUGCCUGUUGAAGUUCUGAAUAGAGCUAGGGGAGAGAUUUAGCUCAGCUGGUAAGAGCGCUCAUGCUUUGCUAGCUAGACGUCAGCAGGGUCUCAGAGUUCCCUAACCUCCCACAUGGAAAAGGCGAAAAGCCCAAAAAGGGCAAAAUUUCAGCAACUAACAGAAGGUAGACUGGCUGGGUGAAACUAGCUGAACCUUGAAACUGCAUAAAACGCCGAUAGAAUAGCAGCCAGAACACAGACAAACUUGUGAUUGCAGAUAAAUAUUGAAAAGUGGUCAGCUAAUAGCUAUGGUGAUACUAGCACACAGGCGCGAGAG
rnacentral:rRNA from 1 species